GAGAUGGGAGGAUCACUUGAGCCCAGGAGGUCGAGGCUGCAGUGAGCUGUGAUCAUACCACUGCACUCCAGCCUGGGUAACAAAGCAAGACCCUGUCUC
rnacentral:miRNA from 1 species